rnacentral:lncRNA from 1 species
CAACUUGGCAGCAUAUGGCCAUCAUGUUGAGAUGUCUACUUGGCUCUUUGCUUCAUUGUUUUUAACAUAUUGAUUUCUCUCUCUCUCUCUCUCUCUCUGAAUCACAUGCAAUGCUUGUGCUGAAAUAUGAGUUUAGACAAGACCAUUAAUUACUAUCUCCUUCUGAUAUUGACCUUUUAAUUGCUAAUCGAUAUUCUGUGAGUGGAGAAUUGUAGUUUCACUUGUGUAUUUCAUCAUUGCAUAAUGUUAACUUCAUUUCUCACAGAAAAAACAUCUGUAGUCCUUAAACGAGAAAGAGUUGGUUAAGUUGAUAAACUUUCAGGUACACCGGUGAAGAUGGUUUUGAAAUAUCAGUCCCGUCUGAGAAUGCAGUGGAUCUGGCAAAAGCCAUUCUGGAGAAAUCCGAAGGCAAAGUGAGGCUGACAGGGCUAGGUGCUCGAGACAGUCUCCGACUGGAGGCCGGCUUAUGCUUGUAUGGAAACGACAUGGAGCAGCACAUAACCCCUGUUGAAGCAGGACUUACAUGGGCCAUAGGGAAGCGAAGAAGGGCAGAAGGCGGAUUCUUGGGCGCAGAAGUGAUACUGAAGCAGAUUGAACAAGGGCCAUCUAUCAGGAGGGUCGGGAUCUUCUCUGCUGGCCCGCCUGCCAGGAGUCACAGUGAGAUUCAAGACGACAAGGGCCAAAACAUAGGCGAGAUCACCAGUGGCGGGUUCAGCCCUUGUCUUAAGAAAAACAUAGCCAUGGGGUACGUCAAAUCUGGAUUACACAAGAACGGUACCAAACUAAAGAUCGUUGUACGAGGGAAGACCUACGAUGGAUCCAUCACUAAAAUGCCUUUUGUUCCCACCAAGUAUUACAAGUCAUCUUGAUUCUUUCUUAUUUGUCCAAUAACUGCAUGUUGCUUCUGAGGUGUUUUUCUGGUGAACUCAAAAUGCUGCAAUCAACUAUCAAAUUUCACAUGGGAGUUUCUUCUCUCUCUCUCUCUCUUGCAGUUGGAUUGAUAUUUGGAUAGGACUUUGAUGUUGAUAAGGUGGCUCUGCAAUUGGGUGAUGUUUCUUGAAAGAGAUAGGUUUGAGGUCAUAAAAUAUUACCAGCAAAAAUAACUUUUGACACAAAGAAUGUAUUUUCUUUGAUGGAAAAGCGUGAAAAAUAUAUAUUUCCACCAUUUCCCCACUUUUUUCACAUAUUCUAUAUGGUGGACAAUUUUCUUCAAGUAUCAUAAAAAAAGUUGGAUCAACUCAUUUUCUCUUCAAUUUAUGAUAAUAUUAUUAGGGCAUUUACUUUGAGUGAUAGAAUGGAUAGACAAAAAUGAUAAUACAAGUUAAUUUACUAUUUGCUUUGGUGGAUUGGUUAAUUUUGAAUUUGUUUGACCAUCUUAUUAUUCAAAUCAUGGAUAAUAAUGUGUGAUAAUAUUUUCCCAUAUAUAUGUCUUCUACCCUAAAGAAGAUGAGAUAAAAAAGUGGCAUGAUACAAUUUCUUAUUCCUUUACUUCUCAUGACAAAUUUACAAUUAAAUAUCACACAUUGAAAUCUUUUGAAAAACUCAAUCUAAAUCAUUUUCUCAAUUUGCUUCCGGUUUGAAUUAUGAUGGGGUUAGUCAAUACUGUAACUAGCAUGAUUUGUUUUUUAGUAAAAUAGCCAGCUAUUGGGUUUUGCCUAAGAUUCUGUUACAAAAACAAACGCCAUAUGAUACAAAGCAUUACGAAGAGUAAUAUAAUGUUAUAAUAGCUAAUUUAAAUAUCCAAGUAUGUCAGUCCCAUAGAAAUGAAAUGAUUCGUAAUUUUAUUGUAGAUAAUUGAAAUAACUCAAUAUAUGUCAACUCCCAUAAGCAAGAAAGGACAAACUAGAUCGAUUCAAAUUUAUUCAUUAAACCUGGUCAUGUUCUUUCAGCUGAAUAUUUUGCGGUCUCCUAAUUAUUUGGAAUAAACAUAAUACUAUAUAAUAAUGUGUUUGAAUUGAUCUCAUCCUCUCACAAAAUAUGAUUAUGCGCUUCAAUUGAAUCGGUCAUAAACUGAUGUAAUAAAAUCUCAAACUUGGUGAUGUAAUGUUCCAAGUCAAACUCUAUCGCAAAACAAUUUAUAUAAUUCUAUUCAAGUGCGCACUACCGUAAGUUUUAGACAUAGUUUUCAAAAUACGAGAUAAGAUAUGAAGACAAUAUAAAAUAACCCACGUACUCAUGUAGUCAUGUUGCCACAAAAGAUAAAGAUGGGAUAGAUUUUGAUAUAACAACCUAACAGAUUAUACAUUGAAUAAAUAAAUAAAAAAUCUUGAAUUACAAAAUAAAUAAAUCAAAGAAUCACGCACGUUCACCAAAAAAUAAAAAUCAUAACAAUUUGCUGGCAAAUUCAUCAAUGGCAGUUCCAUGUUGACGACACGAAGCCGACGCCACUGCAAGAUCUUUGAGCUGCGACAAACUCCUCCCUAACUGUAACGAAACCUUCAUUUCCAUCAACUCACCAUUUUCAACUCCUUUCUCUUCAAUAGAUUCCUCCAUAAUCUGGAAUGAUCCAGCACAAUUCCUGUACAUCUCCACCACCAUCCCCACCUGUCCCCCAUGCUCCACAAUAUUCACGAUCGUAGCCAAGGCGCCGCCGCCAACUGCAACACCCACACCCAACCCUCCAAUACAAGAAGAAGGAUCCAAUAAUGCAGAUCCUACGGCCGCCGCGCCGGCGAAAACCGGCCCUAAAACGGCCAGCAUCUUGUUCAAUUUGAGAGCUGCGUUGCCUAAUUUGAGGUAUUCUUGUUUAUCCUUUUCCCUCAAAACGCUAACAAUCUCCCUCAUCUCCUCCUCCAUUUCUUGCUCUUCUCCUUUCUUCAGCGGCGGCCACCACACGGCUGCCUCUAGCUCGGCCGGAAACUUCUCCAGCAUCACUCCGAUCAGAGGAAGAGGGUACGCUCUGUCCAGAGCUAAUACUCUUUCCAUCGCCUUUGCUACGUCCGUUUCGGUAACAUGAUCGCUCAGGGUCAGCGCGGUUUGGAUCUCCUGGUGUAAUCCCUUGAACAAUCUGGUGGCGUUGCGCUGCUCUUCCGCGAGCUGCGAGGGUUGGAGCUUGUUCACCACCACCAGCAUCGCCGUGGCCGCCGCGAACAGCGCGGCCGAGGACAGCUUCAGCCCGAGAACGGGCUCCGGUGCGGCCGCCGUGAGGCCGGCCAUGGCGGUGGCUGUGAGGGUCAUCGUGUUGAUGGAGUUCAAGAGAAGCGAAUUCCAGUUGUUGCGUUGCUCGCCGAUAUUCGCGUGCAUUUCCACCCUAUCGGCCACCGCCUCCAACACGGCGUAGAGCUUGGCCGUAGCAGAGGCGGCGGCGGUGUCGUGGCUGCAUGGCUGGAGAAUGAUCGGGAUUUUGCCGUUGUCUUUGGUGGAUAUUUUGGCGGUUAAUUUAUCAUCUGCCUUCAUAUGUAGAGACAUAUUUGCAUUUGUGACGACAAUUCUUUUCUUUGAGGGACGUAAUAUGGAAUUAUGGGCGCAAGGCAUUGAUGAAAAAAUUGAAGAUUGUGUAGCCAUUGAUGAAUUUGUUUCGGUAUGUUGCAAAGUAACUGAAUCUGUGAAUAUAUUUAUAGUGAGGAGAUAUAAUAAUUGUUGACCAGAAAGAAUUGUUUUCUUGACCGGGCUGUAAAACAAUAAUUUUCUAAGAAAUGGUUCGGGUGACCCAUUAAUUUGGACCCAGCAAAUGAGAUUUCAUUUGUGUUGCGUCAUGCUCGUGCUCGAGACAUCUCAAAUAUUCAAAUUAAAUAUGCUCUCCUUUGAUUUGGGAAGUUGAAUUAGGGGAAUGUUGUAUCAAACCAUCUUACAAUGGACUAAUUUUUUUGUGAUUGAAUUAUGCAAUCAUUUUUGUUUUUAAGAUCAUCAUGCAAGAAUUUCGGUUUAGCAAGUCAAUUCAAAAUAUUUUGGUUGAAAUUGAUAUUUAUAAUUACUACAUCUAAUACAAGGAAAUCGCAUGUUUUGUGGUCAAAACUUUUUACCAUUUCAAAUCAUGGUCGAGGCCAGAUAUAUUUUUAAUGCAUUUAUCUAUAAUUGUUUCUCUUUUGCAAUCUCUAUAACUCUAUUUAUUUGUUUACUUUUAUCCGAAGUUUUUGAAUUUUGAAAAUAUUGCGCAUAAAGCUGAAUUCGUGCGAGGAUAGUCCGAUGAAAAAUAUAAAUUACAAUAAAUGUUCCGUAUUAUUUCUUUUACUUCUUUUUUUUUUAUAAAUAAUUAAUAAUUAUUCUCCUUUUUCCCAUAAUGACUUCAAAGUCUAAUCUCGAUUUAUAGUUGGAGGAAAAACAUCUUACUAAUUAAACUGUGUUUUGUAUAUUAAUUUAAUAUACAUGUAUACCUGAGUAUAUGAUUUUGUAUAGACAAUAAACUAUUUACCAAUUCAGUUGGUUUGUGUUCUUCAUUGCAGGUAUGGCUGCCAUCUACUUUUCCAAAACACACAACGCCAUCAACCCUAACACACACACAAUAUCAAAAUCGAAAAUUUUCCACAAACUAAAUGAAACUCAUCCCCAAAUCUACAAAUUUUCAAUUCACCAUCUGAUUCCUUCAAUGGAGCCUCGAACUCAUCGAAGAAUAUGAUAGCGACACAGGAGGAGACGGUGGAGGCGAAAGUGCCGCUGGCGUACAAAGACCAAUGCGCUCAUCGGCUCAUCCCCUCAACAAAUGCCAGCAGGCGGAGCUCUACCUGCCGUGGAAGUGCGGGCGAAUGGUUGGGAGGUGAUGGGGGCAGGCAGCAGAGGGGGCGACAGAUGGCGGUAGAUCUGAUGAUGAUGGUGGGGGAGGGCGGUGGAGAAAGAGGUGUGGUGGUGAAGAAGGGCGGCAUAGGGCGGCAUUUUAGGGGUUAUUAUUUUAUUUUUAUUUUUUUCCAUGUGUCAAUUUUCAGUUAUAGUCGGCGCCAUGUCAACUCGUAAUUGUCAUGUCAGUUCGGAGCUUUAACCAAGUAAAAAAGUAUGGAAAAAUUAUUCAACUCGAAAUUUUUGAUAAAAAAGAAAUUAAUGAAAAAUUUAGAAAUACACCAAAAAUUCAUGAUUUUUUGGCGUAAUUAACUCAGAAGAAAUAAUGGUGAUUAUUUGUGUAGUAAAAGAGAGGAGGAUAUUCUGACUACAGAUUCUAAAUCGUUGACCUUUGAUGGCAAAGAUCCUCGUAGCACCCGCCCUUCCGCAGCCAGCAGGCCCCAUCUUAAUAACCUCUAUUUACAUCGAAUGAUUGUGAACACAUUCAAUUCAAGAUUGAACACAAUUGAAUUCAAGAAUAAACAGCAUUCCACUUGAUACCUUCAUAUUUCAGAAAACGUCACUCUCUCCGAGUGUGGUGGAAUUGUGGAGCGAGAAAGAAAGAUGGGAUCAGUUGCGAAGAAGGGAUUGCAGCAGUAUUUGGGGCAGCUCCAGCGACACCCUCUCAGAACCAAGGUCUCCGCUCUCGUUGACUCGUUGACUUACCUUUCCUUUAUUCUCUCUAUGUUGCCGUUUCUUGAUUUGUUGUUUCUAUCUCCGGUUGAUUGUAAAAUUGAAGAUAUUUAGUUUUGAUUGAGUUUUUGCAGAUGAUAACGGCGGGAGUGCUGUCGGCGGUCAGUGAUAUUGUAGCGCAGAAGCUUACUGGCAUUCAGAAACUUCAGCUGAAGCGACUUCUUCUUAAAGUGGUAUCCUUCUUACUCAGCUUACUUAUUUACGUUGCGUCUUCAUUCCAUAAAACUAUACGUUUUCCAAUUCGAGUAUCGAUCCGUGGAGUUGGGCAGGUAUGAGGAUUCUUGAAGUUGUCAGUGUGGGAAUAGCUUAUUCUUGAAUGAUGCUUUCGUGAUGUGAUCAAUUAGUGUGAUUUCUAAGAAAUACUGAGAAAAUCCAAUGUGUUGUUUUUGGUGGUUGAGUGCUUAGAUUGCCUCUUUAUUGAUUGCUAGGCGGAUGAGGUUAUAAUAGAUGCUCUUCCUAUUAUGUUUUGGCACAUAUUUAUUGGUGGUUUACUAGUGAUCUUGUAGGGUCCCAUUUCUUCUUCAAUAUUGCGUGUUAGUGUUCACAUCCUUCUUUGGAAAAUGGAAGCACGUUUCCAAUAGCUGUCAUUUUGGUUUCAAUUUUUUCGGAAUUUGCUAUAAUGCUAUUUCAUGGAACAUUGACAUAUCUUUCAUUUCAGUUUCCAAUGCUCAGUUAAAAUGCUAUUUCAGGAUACUGGAUAAUAAAAUAAGCAACUGGUAACCCAAAUUUUAAUCCAUUUCUACAAGUUCUGGUGGUAUUAGAGACUGAUAACUGUGUCUCCAACUUCAAGUAACAUUCUGUUUUACUUUUGGUAGGAAGAAGAUUGAUUACUUUUUAUCCCAAAGCACUAUGCUUGAAAUGUGGUGGGUAAAUAGUGUAAGGAUGAAUGCACCAAAGUUAUACAUAAUUGUGGUUUAACUUGUCCCAACUAUACCUAUACUAGAAAUCUCUCUGUUGUUAAACUAUGUGAGGUACUAAGCCCACGUUUGGUUGGGUGUUUUUAGAGGUUGAAAAGGGAAUCAAGUAAUUAAAUCCAUUACUUGUUGUUUGGUUUGGGUAAUGAGAUAAUCAUUACCCUUAUUUGAGGGUAACCCAAUCACUCAAUUUGUUACCCCUCAAAAUAGAGGGGAAACAAAAGAAAGGGAAUCCCUUACUAAUGGUUCCUUUCCAUUGUUAAACCAAACACUCAAUAAAAGUAAUGGUUAUUGUUGUCAUUCCACUCUUUUAUUUGAUUCCAUUCCCUUUCCAUUUCUCUACUUGAACCAAACAAGCACUAAAACUUAAUCCUCCACCAACUAUAUGUUGAUUUAACAGACAAACACAUGAAACUGAUCCCCAACGUUAUCCAUUUUAGACAAAAGGGAUAAGAGUUCCUGGUGAUAGUGGUAGCUUUUAUUGACACUCUUGCAUAAUUUGACAUUAAUUGAUGUUUACAAGUCAAAUACAUUCAACAUUUAUGGAUGCACUUAUUGAUAUGUUUUCAGUGUUUCAUUAGAGAGACUUGUGUUUUUUACAUUUGUGACAAGUUCAAGUUGUUUCUGCAGAUACUUGUUAUUUGAAUUUUGAUCCCUAAAAUGCAGAUAUUCGGGUCAGCUUAUUUGGGUCCAUUCGGGCAUUACUUCCACAUAUUGCUGGAUAAAAUUUUCAAAGGGAACAAGGACUCCAAAACUGUGGCUAAGAAGGUGCUCCUGAUUCUUGUAUUCUCUACUUUGUUAUCUUCUGUUUCUGAAUCCAUCAUGCCAUUGAAUCUCUGGCAUUAGUAAGAAUUUCUUCCAUAUGACAUUUCUGGCGCCUCGAUCUUUUCUUCUCAUAAUCCAAAGUGAAUUCUGGGAUAAUUUGGAUCCCUAAAAUGAAACUAGAAUUAAGACAAUUGAAUCCUUUCAGGUAGUGCUGGAGCAACUUACAAUUUCACCUUGGAACAACCUGAUGUUUAUGAUUUACUAUGGCUUAGUUAUCGAGGGUGAGUCUACACCACAGCUUCUCUCAGCUUGCUAUAUCUGUUGCUCAUGCUUGUUAUUCGUAAGAGUAUAAAAGUUCUCUCACGUUUAAGUACAAUUCUUUGGCGUCGUGGCUCCUCAGAAAAAUGCUUUCAAAUUGCACAAGAAUUAAGUUAGAUGGUAGGAAGAUAUGGUGAACGCAUAUUUCCUGUCUUCUCAGGCAUGGCUAAAAACACAUACACGAAUUUGUCUGCAUAGACAAUAUUUUUAAAGUGUGCAUAAAGUAGUAAUUUGUAUUCUGUAGGCUUCCAAAGAAAAACCGAUUAUCUGAACCAAAACCUUGAUCUGGAGUCCAUCUCAACUUUCCGAAGUAAUGCUCGGAAAGCAAGUAAAUUAACAUAAGAUUUUAUUGAUUUGUAAUUUGUACUGUAUAAUUUGCACAGGGAGAGCAUGGAUCCAUACGAAAUCUAAAAUCAAGAAGGAAUAUCCAACUGUCCAGUAUACAUCGUGGACAGUAAGUGAUGUUAAAUAGUUUGGGUUAAACGUUUGAUGUUGAGAAAAGUGUAUAUAUUUAGUUGAUGCGUUACUAUUGUGCAGUUCUGGCCUGUGGUUGGAUGGGUAAAUCAUCAGUACGUGCCACUACAGUUCCGCGUUAUUCUCCAAAGCGUCGUUGCUUGUUUCUGGUAUAAUGCUCUCCUCAUCCUUGUCAAAAUAUUUGCUCCUGAGAUCCCAGAGCAUCAACGUGAUUCGAUUUUCGAUUUUUUCUUUUCCCUUAUUCUGAUUUACAGGGGAAUAUUUCUGAAUCUAAGAGCAAAGUCUCUGGCACUUGCUAAACCUUGAGGAGAGGAGGAAAUGUGCAGCAGCCUUGUUUGAUGUUGGAAAAUGUCAGCUUGUUUAAUACUAGUAUAUUAUAUAGUCAUCCAAAAUGUAUUGUCUGACCGUGAUGUUUUAGAAAUAUUUUUUAUUACUCCUAUAAUAUGAAAAUUGAAAUAUUCAACAUUUUCUUCAUCCAGAUCUACUGGUCAAACUUUUUCUUGGAGUUGCUCCUUUGACUUCAAACUUCUGUUUUUCGUGUUGUUUCUUUCAAUUCAACGUAUAUUAUAUUUUUAAACAAAUUAAAUAAGUAGAAUAUAAUUCUACAAAUGUUAAUUAAGGUUUCAACUUUUGAGUAAUCUAUAUUCUAAAUAUUAGUAGCCUUAGGUCAAUCCAUUCAUACAUUUUGAUUGUAUAUAUGUGUUUUUUUUUUGAAAAAUUAUUAUGAAAAGAAAAGGGAUAAGAAGAGGUGGGAAAAUCACCAGUUUUUUUUAAAAAAUUAUUAUGAAAAGAAAAGGGAUAAGAAGGGAUGGGAAAAUCACCACUUCUUUUGAUCUCGUGUUUGUCAUAAAGGAAAACAUGAAAAAAUAUUAUCAUAAAUUGGAGUGAAAAUGAGGAAAAAUGAGUUUUCUAAAUUUUCUUUAAUUGAUGAUGUCUGAAUAAAAUUAUCCACCACAAUACAUGUAAAAACCAAUAAAAAUAUAGGGUAAUUGGUGUAUAAAUACAGGAACUUUACAAACUUUUUGGUUUUUAACAUGAACUUCAAAAUGUUGGUGUAAAUACACCAACUUUGAAUUGUAUCAAUUUUUGUCAUGCCAAUUUUUGCUUAAUUAUAAAUCAACCCCAAAAUAAUCAAAAUUGCAGAAUAACCCCCACAAUCAAGACAAAAUACCCUUAUAAUGGCUCAUAAAACAGUUUAACAAUUAAUCAGGCCCAACAUGCUUCCGUACCACUUCAAAAUAAUUCUUAAAUUAAACCAACAUUAUACCUUUGUNUUUUUAUUACUCCUGUAAUAUGAAAAUUGAAAUAUUCAACAUUUUCUUCAUCCAGAUCUGCUGGUCAAACUUUUUCUUGAAGUUGCUCCUUUGACUUCAAACUUCUGUUUUUCGUGUUGUUUCUUUCAAUUCAACGUAUAUUAUAUUUUUAAACAAAUUAAAUAAGUAGAAUAUAAUUCUACAAAUGCUAAGUAAGGUUUCAACUUUUGAAAAAUUAUUAUGAAAAGAAAAGGGAUAAGAAGAGGUGGGAAAAUCACCAGUUUUUUUAAAAAAAUUAUUAUGAGAAGAAAAGGGAUAAGAAGGGAUGGGAAAAUCACCACUUCUUUUGAUCUCGUGUUUGUCAUAAAGGAAAACAUGAAAAAAUAUUAUCAUAAAUUGGAGUGAAAAUGAGGAAAAAUGAGUUUUCUAAAUUUUCUUUAAUUGAUGAUGUCUGAAUAAAAUUAUCCACCACAAUACAUGUAAAAACCAAUAAAAAUAAUCUUUACUAUUUUUCCAUAAAAAAAGACGCACCCUCUUAGAGAAGUAUAAAAAAUUUAAAUUUUUUAGAUGCAUAUCUUCAAAUUUAAAUUGUAUAGAAUGAAUAAAUGUGGAUCGAUUAAACAUUUCUAACAGCUCGUGAGUCGUGACUAGGGCUGUCGAUCGGUUCGGGUUCGGUUACCCGUACCCGAAUUUUCGGUUACCCGAACCCGAAAUUGCCAAAUUUCAAUAACCGUUCCCGAACCGUUUUAGAAGUUCGGUUACCCAAUACCCGCUUCGGUUAACCAAUUGGGUUAUUUGGGUAUCCGAAAUACCCAUUUAAAAAAUAAAAUUCAAAUAAUUUUUGCUCUAUCUACUCUAAAAGAAAUUACAAAUAUAUAAUAUAUAUUUACAAAUAUAUAUUAUAUAUAUAUAUUAAAUAAUUUACAAAUAUAUAAUAUAUAUUUACAAAUAUAUAAUAUAUUUGUAAAUAUAUUAUAAUAUAUAUGUAAAUUAUUUGUAAAUUUACAAAUAUAAUAUAUNUGUUUUUUGCUUAAUAGUACGUGGCAUUGUCUCACAGUCCAGACCCAGAUCACAAAGUAAUCUAUUGGGCACGAGGAAAGUUUCCAGCCGAUAUACCAUCUAAGCCCAAUCUUAUACAUAUUUUAGGUAUAAAUUGUCUUUUGUCCCAAAACCAAAAGUUUUAGGGGUCAAAGUGCAAAGAAUUAUAUAAUGGGGUCAUUUUUUUGAAUAUACAAAACUUAUUGGAUGUCAAAUUUUAACCAACUUUAAAGUUCAUGUAUUUAUACCAAACUUUUAAAGUACAUGUUAAAUACCAAAAUUGGUCCAAAGUUGGUGUAUUUAGACACCAAUCACCCAAAAAUAUAAGUUUACUAUUUUCCAUAAAAAAGACGCACCCUCUUAGAGAAGUAUAAAAAAUUUAAAUUUUAGAUGCAUAUCUUCAAAUUUAAAUUGUAUAGAAUGAAUAAAUGUGGAUCGAUUAAACAUUUCUAACAGCUCGUGAGUCGUGACGUACAUUUUAAAGUUUAGUUCAAAAUCUACGCAAAACGGAGAUAAAACGAAAUACUUGCGCCACGCAUUACGCAUUUUUCUUUAUUUAAAGCGUGUUUGCAUACAUAAACUGAACUACCACAAUUAACGAUAUAUAACAAAGAACGCCAUAUGUGAUUAAGUUUAUUUUAUCUUUGUCAUUUUGCUCUUUGUUGUCUAGUUUUUUGUAGACGCAUUUUUAAUUCAUGUUCACACAUUGGAUAUAUGCAAUCUUAUUUAAUUUAGCAUGCCGAUUCUAUAGGAUUAUUGAAAUAAGUCCUCAAUAUUAAUUUAUCAUGAGAAAUAGCUAGUUGCCUGGAUAGGGAAUUGGUUUGAUAUUUAUCUACAAUUUUCUAUUCUUAUUUAUCUAAAUUUUUUAUUUAUGUCCUUUUAAUUUCAUAUAUUAUUUUUAAUAAUAAAUUGUUACUUACGAACAUUUAUGGACAUGUUCUACGAGGAAUUUUUUGCUUCUUAAAUCUUUUGUUAUUUAUACUAGCAUUUAUUAUCAAUGUUUAUAACGUUUGAUUUUUAUUGAGAACAAUGACCAACUUUUAUAUUUAUAAAUUUGAACAGGUGACGGACAUUUACCAACAUGCUUACGUGAAAUUUUCUCUGUUUAAUAUUUUAUUUUUUAUAUAAAUGUUUACUUCAUAAUUGUGAUGAAUCAAUUAUUGUAAUUAUUUAUAUUUAUAAAUUCAAAGGGGUUCGAGUAAUUAAAGGGGUAUUACUAUAUGUGUUUGACACAAAAAUAGGUAAUUAGCAAAUAGUUCUACUAUAUACAUAUGUUUCUUUUGUAAUAUUUGAGUUUUAUUGAGAUACAGAUAACCAAAUUCAGACGAAUUUGAAGAGUUAAUGGGUAUUACUAUACGAGUUUGAGAUGAUAAUGAGUAACUAGUAGAUAUUACUAUGCGAGUUUGAGAUAUGCAUGCGUGGUGGGUAUUACUAUGCGGGUUUGAGAUGAAAAUGAGUAGUAAAAUUAUUUUUUUAAAUAGGUUCAAAUAUCGAGAGAUAUGUCUACAUGAAUUUUUCUUUAAUUUUAAAUCUUUUGUUAUUUAUUCUAUUUAUUAUUAAUGUUGGCUUUGUAAUAUUUCGAGUUGUUAUUGCGAAAGAUAUCCAAUUGUUGCAACAAGUUUUACAUUUAUAAAUUCAAACGAGUUUGGAUAAUUAGCAAGUAAUGUUAAAACAAGUACAAAUACAUAGAUUUAAGUGAUUUUGGGUGGGUUAAACAGUACUAGUCUAACCAUUUUAGUUUAAGAUCAUACGAUCACCACAAUCAAUAAUUUUUUAUGGCUAAACUCUAUGAAGUAUAAAAUUAAUUUAUCAUUUAUAUUUAUAAAUUAUAGGAAAAAGGUGCAGAUACACCCUUGCAAUAGUAGCCCCUUAUAAAUUAUGGGGCCGGUGACGCGGGGGCUGACUUCUCUGACUCUGAUGUUGUAUCAAACACUUAAACAGUGGUGAGAUUUGGAAACAGACCCACAUUUUAAUUAAAAAAUAAUAAAGAAAAAGGUUGAUUAACGGACGAAAAAUGAGUUAAUUGAUCGAUUUUUAUGAUUUUGGGAGCUUAUUUGAUCCAAUGCCGACUAUGGGCCAUGGAGAACUAUACGUUAUAGGGGCUACUACUACAAGGACGUAGAUCUACACAUUUUCCCUAAAUUAUAACAUAAAAUGACUCCCGAUAAGUUACAAACUAGUUUUAUCUAAAACAUUGUCAUGCACCCUAAAAUAAUCAGGAAAGGAAAGGGGAGAUAUAGUGUGGAGGGAAGGAAGUUAAUUUCACGUGCACAAUCCCAUUGACCAACUAAUUAUUUCCAACAGUUGGCGUGUAUUUCCGACUUCCGAGGAUGGAAUUUGGACGGUAUAAUGUAAAUCAUGCUUCUUUUAGAUAUAAAAUCUCCGGUUAUAUUUUCAUAUUUUGACGAUUAAUUUGGACGGUAUAUAUAAUGCAAAAUCGUGCUUCUUUAGGAUUCAAAUUAUUCUGUUAUAUUUCCAUAUAUAUAUAUAUGUAUUCAUUCACGGAGGGAGUACCAUGUAUAGUAAAUAUCAUACAUAUGUCACUAUAAAUAUUGAAUGACAUUAUAUAUAUUCACGAUACACAGCUACAUGAAACAACUAACAACUCUAAUAACAAUAUCAUCAUUGUAGAAGAAGAUUAUGUUUUUUGUUAUUUUACUUGAACAAGAUAUAUACUCCAUAUUGUAGUGUAGAGAAAAGAUACAAAAUAGAGUGUAUUCUAUAAGUUGAGAAUCUGCAAUAAUGGUAAGUGGUUAAACGGUCAAAGACAAGGGAUUACGUACCCUCCGAGUUGAAAGUCAACCCAAGACUGCCAUCCAUCUCUCUCUCUCUCUCUCUCUCUAUAUAUAUAUAUAUAUAUAUCAUAGUAACUAACACUCACUCCCUCGCCAAUCUACUCACUUCAUUCUUAACACAUUAUAAUUUUCAUAACUAACAAAUACUCGUACACAAAAGGGAGUUAAUGGCGACAUUAAUGUUGAAUUCAUCCAUCUCCUACAAGCAAAGAGAAAUAGUCAAGGCCGCCAUCAACAUCCCAAGGCGGGUCGCCAGAAUCAAGAUUCCGGGGCUCCGAACUGGAGGAUUCCCGGAGCAAACGGAGAAGCCUCUCAAAAUCAUCACCCUCGUCGAAAACGGAAACCCUAACCCUAACCAGCCGGAUCCGACCGUGGUGGCGAAGCUUUACGCGAUCAUGGAAGCAGUCGCGGAUCGAGUGGAGAUGCACAGGAACGUCGGGGAGCAGCGCGACAACUGGAACAGCCUUCUUCUGACUUCGAUCAACUCCAUGACUCUCGCCGCCGCUGCCAUGGCUGGGAUCGCCGCCGCCGCCGGCGGUUCCCCCGCCGCGGCGCUGAAGAUCUCCUCCACCGUCAUGUACGUGGCAGCGACUUGUAUGCUCUCGGUGAUGAAUAAGAUCCAGCCUUCUCAGCUAGCGGAAGAGCAGAGAAACGGCGCCAGGCUGUUCAAGCAGCUCCACAAUCAGAUCCAGACCGUCAUAUCGAUGGGGAAUCCGACGGCAGCGGAUGUGAGAGAGAUGAUGGAGAGAGUGCUGGCUCUGGACAAGGCAUUCCCGCUCCCUCUCCUGGGCGCGAUGCUAGAGAAGUUCCCGGCGGCCGUGGAGCCGACGGUGUCGUGGCCGGAGCAGAGGAGGAGGAAGGCGAUUUCGAGAGGAAACGCGGGUUACAACGGGUGGAACGGAAAGUUGGAGGAGGAGAUGAGACAAGUGAUUAGGGUUGUAAGAGUAAAAGACAAGCAAGACUACUUGAGAUUAGGUGAGAAGGCGCUGAAACUGAACAAAUUUCUGGCGGUUACAGGCCCCGUGCUGACGGGAUUAGCCGCCCUAGGCAGCGCCCUAGUGGGCGAGUGCAGGUGGGCGGCGGCGGUGGCGGUUGUGGGCGGCGCGUUGGCGAGUGUGGUGAACUCGUUGGAGCAUGGGGGGCAGGUGGGAAUGGUGUUCGAGAUGUACAGGAGCAACGCGGGAUUCUUUAAGAUGAUGGAGGAAUCGAUAGAGUGGAACUUGAAGGAAGGGGAUCUGGAGAGGAGGGAGAAUGGGGAGGUGUUUGAGAUGAAGGUGGCGUUGCAGCUGGGGAGGAGCUUGUCGCAGCUCAGGGAUCUCGACGUUGAUGAAUUUGCAAGCAAGCUUUUCUGAUCAUGCAUGCUCUAAUAUAUUUGUAUAUAGCUAACUCAUCCACCAAAUUUACUGGCAUGUAUGUAGAAUCUCAACCAAUCACCAAUUCUUUCAUUCAUUUCAACUUAUACAUAUCUUUAUGAAAUUGAUCGGUAAUUCCACGUGGAAUUUUUUAGGAUAUUUGUUUCUAUUUUUUAUUUAAUUAACUGUGUUUUUGUGGCUAAAAGUAUGCUAUAAAAAGGGAUAUAUAUUUAACUUUGAGACAAGAGGGAUUAUAUAUAUGUAACACACUAAUCUAAUUAAGGAGUUAAAUAUAAAAUUUAAAUAAAUAUUUAAUGCGGAAGUCCUUUAAAGUAAUUUAAAACUCACUUUUAAAUUAAAUAUUUUCGAAAGUAAUUUUAAGAAAAAGAAACCUUUAAAUAAAUUUGGUUUUUAAAGCACCUUUAAAACGAUUUAUAAGAUAUCAAAAAUUUUCAAUAAUGUAUUCAAAUAUAAAUCUUGAUUUUGAAAUCAUAAAUUUAACAACUUUAUUUUCAAAGCACGACAUGAAGAUGUCAGAAAAAUAAUUAACUAAUUAAUAAAACUUUUACUAAGGAAACACUCUAAAUAUAAAAUAAUAUCUUUUUAGCAGCGAAAAAUAUAACAAAAAUAAAAUCUUUAUAUGAUUAAAAAUUAUGUAUGUAUCCAUGUAUAUAUUUUCGUAAAGAUAUAAAUUCUUAAAUAAAUAUUUGAAAUAAAUUUAAAUAUAAAUUAAACAAGUCAUGACAUUAAAAUAAUAUAACAACAUUUAUUUAAAUAAAUCACACACAAAUCUCAAAUAAUAUAGAAUUUCAGAGUUUACAUAACCAAAAAUAUCACAUGAAAUAACACAAUAUGUUUUAAGAAACAUAUUUCUUUAAAUAGAUGUGACGCGCCCAUUCGACUCUCCACGCGCCUCCGAUAUCAAUCACCUGAAACUGUUGAAUAUGGGAUGAGCAUACAGGGUACACUCAGUGUGGAAACAUGCAAUAGUUGUCCAUGUUAAUAAAAUGGUAACACAUAUUGUCAUAACGUAACAUAACUUCCAUACGCACUGUGGCAACUCCAAGGACUUUAAUGUCCCGGACCCUAUAUAUGGAUCCCUGGCGACAAUAUAAUGGUUGCAACCCUGUAACAUGAAAUCGCAUUGUGGCAUACCAAGGACGGUGAAGUCCUGGACCAAUUAUGCUGGCCCCUAGCGAUAAAUAUUUUUACAACACAUACGGUAAACACAUAAUAUUAAAAUGGACAAAUAUUAACCACGUGCAUGUACUGAAAUAAAUCCCACACCUGAAACUUGAGCUUUGAAAGUUAACUGCGAUAAUUUAAAGUUCACGUCCUAAUCGCGCCGCACCUAGUCAGAUAAAUUCAAAUAAUAAAAUAUAAGGGCCUAUUUGAACUUUUAGGAAAAUAAUAUAAACUAUAGGAUCAUUUAAAAAUAAUUGAUCUAAUAAAUUUAAGUAGUAAAAUAUAUUUUCUUAUAAAAAUAUUUGGGUUGAUAUUUAUUUAAUUAAAACUUGAGUAUUUGAUUUAUAAAAUUCUUAAUCCAUUAAAUAUAAUGAAAUAAAUGAUGAGAUGCAUGCUUCUUUAAAAAUUUGGGUUAGUGUUAAAAAUACCAAGUUCAAUUUAAUUAAAAGAAUUAUGCAGCCCAAAGCAAAAUAAAUGCAGCUCAAUUACUUAAUUAAUCUGAGCCCAUUCCUAAGCCCAUAUUUCCUUCUCUCCCUUAAAUCCCUAAUCUAACACACACCACAAUACACAUAGCUCACGCCACCCUCUUCUCUCUCUCUCUCGCUCACUCUUCCCUUUCCCGAUUCUCCCUCUCCUUCGGCCUCCUGUCGCCGCGCCACCGGACGGCACGCCGCCGCCGGGAGCCGCCGGCUCUGCCUCCCCUUCCCAUCUCCUCAACCUCUCUUCCUCGGUCUCCCUCUGCCUCUCCUCGUCGCGCCAAGCCGCGGCCGGAGGCCGGCGACUCCUCCUCCUUCCUCUCUCCUGGCCGAACGCAACGCCACCACCGCCGUCCCAGUGUUGACAGAGACGCGCCCAGCCGCCUCGUCGACAGCAACAGUCGGUCAGGCCGCCUUCCCCCUUUCCAGAUCUGGUGCUGCCCAACCGCCGUCGCCGCCUCCCUGCCCAUCUUCGCCGGCCGCCGUGGCGCGGCAGCGCCCAGCGACGCCUACUAGCCAACUCCCCCUUCGCCUCCCCGGCUGUCCAGCAGUCAUACACUCACCAACAAUUUCCCCUCCCUUCUUCUAUUUCUAUUUUCUUUUUCAUGUAAUUAUAAGAUUUAUUCUAUUUGAUUUCCUUAUGGAAAUUACAGUAAAAGGAUGUGUGCAUAUUUUGAUUUGAAAACAAAAUUCUGUUGUAAAGUUUUGAUUUUUGGCAGAAAUGAGAAACCAUGAAUGGAAAAAGAAACUUUGCAAAAAUAAUUAAAAUUUACCAGCUGGGAUUCGUAGGAAGAAUCUGCAGAUUUUAGUUAAAUGAACAGAUGAAGAGGUGAGUUGGGGGUGAGGAAUUGAGGUUUAAAUAGAUUGGAUAUACUCGUUCGUCAAAGAUUUGAAUGUGAAAGAAAUCAAAAAUUUGCUGCUUGUGGAAGAAAAUCAAAUCUUACGGAAAGGAAAUUUAAUUCAAGUUUG